GCGAAAACUUUACAAUGCCGGCAACGGCGAUAAGGGGACCUCGAGUGCCAGGUUACAAAUCUGGCUGUCGUGAUGCCUAAAAAGCAUUACAUAGCAAGGGCCGGGCAAGACCGGUGCCAGCCGCCGCGGUAACACCGGCGGCUCGAGUGGUAACCGUUAUUAUUGGGUCUAAAGGGUCUGUAGCCGGCCGGAUAAGUCUCUUGAGAAAUCUGGCAGCUUAACUGUCAUGCUUUCAGGAGGUACUGUCUGGCUCGAGGCCGGGAGAGGUGAGAGGUACUUCAGGGGUAGGGGUGACAUCUUGUAGUCCUUGAAGGACCACCAGUGGCGAAGGCAUCUCACCAGAACGGACCUGACGGCAAGGGACGAAAGCUAGGGGCACGGACC
rnacentral:rRNA from 1 species